rnacentral:sRNA from 1 species
UUGGAGGGCAAGUCUGGUGCCAGCAGCCGCGGUAAUUCCAGCUCCAAUAGCGUAUAUUAAAGUUGUUGCAGUUAAAAAGCUCGUAGUUGAAUUUCGGGAUCAAUUUAUUGGUCGUGCUAUUGUACGUACUGGUAUUAUUGAUUCCUACCUUCUGACGAACCAUGAUGUCAUUAAUUUGGUGUCUUGGGGAAUCAGGACUGUUACUUUGAAAAAAUUAGAGUGUUUAAAGCAGGCUCACGCUUGAAUACAUUAGCAUGGAAUAACGAAAUAGGACGUUUGAUUCUAUUUUGUUGGUUUCUAGGAUCGACGUAAUGAUUAAUAGGGAUAGUUGGG